rnacentral:rRNA from 1 species
ACUCAAAUGAAUUGACGGGGGCCCGCACAAGCGGUGGAGCAUGUGGUUUAAUUCGAUGCAACGCGAAGAACCUUACCUACUCUUGACAUCCAGAGAACUUAGCAGAGAUGCUUUGGUGCCUUCGGGAACUCUGAGACAGGUGCUGCAUGGCUGUCGUCAGCUCGUGUUGUGAAAUGUUGGGUUAAGUCCCGCAACGAGCGCAACCCUUAUCCUUUGUUGCCAGCGGUCCGGCCGGGAACUCAAAGGAGACUGCCAGUGAUAAACUGGAGGAAGGUGGGGAUGACGUCAAGUCAUCAUGGCCCUUACGAGUAGGGCUACACACGUGCUACAAUGGCGCAUACAAAGAGAAGCGAACUCGCGAGAGCAAGCGGACCUCAUAAAGUGCGUCGUAGUCCGGAUUGGAGUCUGCAACUCGACUCCAUGAAGUCGGAAUCGCUAGUAAUCGUAGAUCAGAAUGCUACGGUGAAUACGUUCCCGGGCCUUGUACACACCGCCCGUCACACCAUGGGAGUGGGUUGCAAAAGAAGUAGGUAGCUUAACCUUCGGGAGGGCGCUUACCACUUUGUGA